rnacentral:rRNA from 1 species
GAUGAACGCUGGCGGCGUGCCUAAUACAUGCAAGUCGAGCGAACAGACGAGGAGCUUGCUCCUCUGACGUUAGCGGCGGACGGGUGAGUAACACGUGGAUAACCUACCUAUAAGACUGGGAUAACUUCGGGAAACCGGAGCUAAUACCGGAUAAUAUAUUGAACCGCAUGGUUCAAUAGUGAAAGACGGUUUUGCUGUCACUUAUAGAUGGAUCCGCGCCGCAUUAGCUAGUUGGUAAGGUAACGGCUUACCAAGGCAACGAUGCGUAGCCGACCUGAGAGGGUGAUCGGCCACACUGGAACUGAGACACGGUCCAGACUCCUACGGGAGGCAGCAGUAGGGAAUCUUCCGCAAAGGGCGAAAGCCUGACGGGGCAACGCCGCGUGAGUGAUGAAGGCCUUCGGAUCGUAAAACUCUGUUAUUAGGGAAGAACAAAUGUGUAAGUAACUAUGCACGUCUUGACGGUACCUAAUCAGAAAGCCACGGCUAACUACGUG